rnacentral:rRNA from 1 species
GAUGAACGCUAGCGGUAGGCUUAAUACAUGCAAGUCGUACGGGAUUUACUUUCGGGUAAUGAGAGUGGCGCACGGGUGCGUAACACGUAUGUAACCUACCUUGUAGAGAGGGAUAGCCCGAAGAAAUUUGGAUUAAUACCUCGUGGUCUUAUUUGGUGGCAUCACUAGAUAAGUAAAGGAGCAAUUUGCUACAAGAUGGACAUGCGCAAGAUUAGAUUGUUGGUGAGGUAACGGCUCACCAAGUCGAUGAUCUUUAGGGGUUCUGAGAGGAAGGUCCCCCACACUGGCACUGAGAUACGGGCCAGACUCCUACGGGAGGCAGCAGUAGGGAAUAUUGGACAAUGGGCGCAAGCCUGAUCCAGCCAUACCGCGUGAAGGAAGAAGGUCCUCUGGAUUGUAAACUUCUUUUAUACAGGAAGAAACGUAGAUUUGCGAAUUUACUUGACGGUA